rnacentral:pre_miRNA from 15 species
CGUCCGGGGGUCACCCGGGUUGACAGAAGAGAGUGAGCACACAGCGGCGACCGCACCGCCUCGAUGCCGUCGCUGCUGCGUGCUCACUACUCUCUCUGUCAUCUCCACCUCCCCGGCGG